AGUGAACGCUGGCGGUAGGCCUAACACAUGCAAGUCGAACGGCAGCACAGUAAGAGCUUGCUCUUACGGGUGGCGAGUGGCGGACGGGUGAGGAAUACAUCGGAAUCUACUUUUUCGUGGGGGAUAACGUAGGGAAACUUACGCUAAUACCGCAUACGACCUACGGGUGAAAGCAGGGGAUCUUCGGACCUUGCGCGAUUGAAUGAGCCGAUGUCGGAUUAGCUAGUUGGCGGGGUAAAGGCCCACCAAGGCGACGAUCCGUAGCUGGUCUGAGAGGAUGAUCAGCCACAUUGGAACUGAGACACGGUCCAGACUCCUACGGGAGGCAGCAGUGGGGAAUAUUGGACAAUGGGCGCAAGCCUGAUCCAGCCAUACCGCGUGUGUGAAGAAGGCCUUCGGGUUGUAAAGCCCUUUUGUUGGGAAAGAAAAGCAGCAGGUUAAUACCCCGCUGUUCUGACGGUACCCAAAGAAUAAGCACCGGCUAACUUCGUG
rnacentral:rRNA from 1 species